AUUUGAUGAUGUGGACAUUGUAAUUGGAGAUCAUUAAAUUUAUCCCAAGCUUCGUUAAAUUCUUCCUUAGGUUUUUGUCUAAAAAUUGAAUUUUAUUUCGAAU